CUUAUCAAAUAAAAUCGCACAUAUUGUGCAGAAUUCUUAUUUGCGCUUUAUGUGGAAUAAAGAACCAGAAAUGCGGAGAUCUGAAUGGACCUGGGGAGGCUGAGAAGUUGGUUGCCAUGAUACGAAUGUAUUCUAAUCCUGACUAUGAUGAAAAAAUGUUGAAUCUCCUGGCUGGGAUUUGCCCAACUUGUAAAACUCGUAUCUGUGGAUUGGGAAGAGGUGAAGUGAUAUCUAUACAAGUUCAGAUGAACUGGAUCCUUCAUGCUGAAAGAAUGAAACUUUUACCAAGAUUUAGAGGAGAUGGACAGGGUGUGUGUACAUGCGUGAUUUGCUCAGCAGCAAGAGUAAGAUGAAAACUAUUUAUAUAAAGGACUUGAUGGAGUAUGAGAAAGAAAAUGAGCUGAACAUCCAGAUUCUUAUAGAGAAAGAUCAAAUUUGUUCUGAAUGUUUUGCAACUUUAGGACCUGGGAAAAGACAUCCAUGCAACAAAGCUGAUACAAUUUCAAAUCUCAAAAUUAUCUUGUUUUCGAAGGGACCAAGAACUACAGAGUAAGUUCUAUCUACGAUAUUGAAGGAUAUGAGGGAAGAUCAGAACACCCAAGAUGUUAAGCUAUCAACUUUAGGCAAACCACUUCCAGUUCAUGUUGGCAUGUCAAAAAUGAAGAAAAGAAUAUCCUCUGAAACACUAUUUGGAUUAAAGCAGAAACAUGACUUCUCAGAGACAGUUAUAGAUUCAAUAGCAGCUGCGUGUAGGAAAGAUCUGGGUCGAACUGGAGUUCAAUCCAACUCAUCAUCAAAUAUAAAAGAAUGGUCACAUUCCUUAGUAACAAAGUAACA